rnacentral:rRNA from 1 species
UUGUCUCAAAGAUUAAGCCAUGCAUGUCUCAGUACGAGCCGUAUUAAGGUGAAACCGCGAAAGGCUCAUUAAAUCAGUUAUGGUUCCUUAGAUCGUACCCACAUUUACUUGGAUAACUGUGGUAAUUCUAGAGCUAAUACAUGCAAACAGAGCUCCGACCGGAGACGGAAGGAGCGCUUUUAUUAGAUCAAAACCAAUCGGUGGCGGGCUUGCCCGUCAUCGUACACCUUGGUGACUCUGAAUAACUUUUUGCUGAUCGCACGGUCUCGCACCGGCGACGCAUCUUUCAAAUGUCUGCCUUAUCAACUGUCGAUGGUAGGUUCUGCGCCUACCAUGGUUGUAACGGGUAACGGGGAAUCAGGGUUCGAUUCCGGAGAGGGAGCCUGAGAAACGGCUACCACAUCCAAGGAAGGCAGCAGGCGCGCAAAUUACCCACUCCCGGCACGGGGAGGUAGUGACGAAAAAUAACGAUACGGGACUCAUCCGAGGCCCCGUAAUCGGAAUGAGUACACUCUAAACCCUUUAACGAGGAUCAAUUGGAGGGCAAGUCUGGUGCCAGCAGCCGCGGUAAUUCCAGCUCCAAUAGCGUAUAUUAAAGUUGUUGCGGUUAAAAAGCUCGUAGUCGAAUUUGUGUCCCGCGCCGCCGGUUCAUCGCUCGCGGUGUUUAACUGGCGUGUCCGCGGGACGUCCUGCCGGUGGGCUCAGUCCCUUCGGGGGCGGCCCAACUUCAAAUCCCACCGCGGUGCUCUUUACCGAGUGUCGAGGUGGGCCGGCACGUUUACUUUGAACAAAUUAGAGUGCUUAAAGCAGGCUAAAACUUCGCCUGAAUACUGUGUGCAUGGAAUAAUGGAAUAGGACCUCGGUUCUAUUUUGUUGGUUUUCGGAACUCCGAGGUAAUGAUUAAUAGGAACGGAUGGGGGCAUUCGUAUUGCGACGUUAGAGGUGAAAUUCUUGGAUCGUCGCAAGACGGACAGAAGCGAAAGCAUUUGCCAAAAACGCUUUCAUUGAUCAAGAACGAAAGUUAGAGGUUCGAAGGCGAUCAGAUACCGCCCUAGUUCUAACCAUAAACGAUGCCAGCUAGCGAUCCGCCGACGUUCCUCCGAUGACUCGGCGGGCAGCUUCCGGGAAACCAAAGCUUUUGGGUUCCGGGGGAAGUAUGGUUGCAAAGCUGAAACUUAAAGGAAUUGACGGAAGGGCACCACCAGGAGUGGAGCCUGCGGCUUAAUUUGACUCAACACGGGAAACCUCACCAGGCCCGGACACYGGAAGGAUUGACAGAUUGACAGCUCUUUCUUGAUUCGGUGGGUGGUGGUGCAUGGCCGUUCUUAGUUGGUGGAGCGAUUUGUCUGGUUAAUUCCGAUAACGAACGAGACU